rnacentral:rRNA from 1 species
UAGAGUUUGAUCCUGGCUCAGGAUGAACGCUAGCGGUAGGCCUAAUACAUGCAAGUCGCGCGAACACUUCGGUGUUAGCGGCGGACGGGUGCGUAACGCGUAUCUAACCUACCCUCUAGAGGGGGACAACAGCUGGAAACGGCUGCUAAUACCCCAUAACACAGCGGGUGCACAUGCACACAGUUGUUAAAGCUGCCUUUAAAGCAGCGCUGGAGGAUGGAGAUGCGUCUGAUUAGUUAGUUGGUGAGGUAACGGCUCACCAAGACAGCGAUCAGUAGCUGGUCUGAGAGGAUGAUCAGCCACACUGGGACUGAGACACGGCCCAGACUCCUACGGGAGGCAGCAGUAGGGAAUAUUGGGCAAUGAGCGCAAGCUUGACCCAGCCAUACCGCGUGGGGGAAGACGGUCCACAGGAUUGUAAACCCCUUUUAUAUAGAAAUAAGGUCCUAUUUGUUAGGAUUUGCAGGUACUAUACGAAUAAGCACCGGCAAACUACGUGCCAGCAGCCGCGGUAAUACGUAGGGUGCAAGCGUUGUCCGGAUUUACUGGGUUUAAAGGAUCCGUAGGCGGGAGAAUUAGUCGGCGAUGAAAUCAGGUGGCUCAACCAUCUGGCUGUUGCCGAAACUGUUCUUCUUGAAUUAGAUUGAGGUGGCUGGAAUAGGCAGUGUAGCGGUGAAAUGCGUAGAGAUUGCCUAGAACACCGAUUGCGAAGGCAGGUCACUAAGUCUACAUUGACGCUGAUGGAUGAAAGCGUGGGGAGCGAACAGGAUUAGAUACCCUGGUAGUCCACGCCGUAAACGAUGGAUACUCGCUGCUCGAACGAUUGCGUUCGAGUGGCUGCGAGAAUCAUUAAGUAUCCACCUGGGGAGUACGCCGCAGGGUGAACUCAAAGGAUUGACGGGGCCCCCCAGUGUGGAGCAUGUGUUUAUUCGAUGAUAGCGGGACUACUG